rnacentral:ncRNA from 3 species
AAUUGACGGAAGGGCACCACC